GUCCACAUGAAAGGGUUAUGUGGUCUGGCCUGCUCACUGAAUUUUUUUUUAAAGAGCCGCAGUAUUUUGACUGUGCAAAGGUAGCAUAAUAAUUAGGUUUUUAAUUGGAACCUUGUAUGAAAGGUUAAACAAAAGAAUUUCUGUCUUUUUUUUAAAAAUUGAAUUUAACUUUUAAGUGAAAAGGCUUAAAUUUUUUAAGGGGACGAUAAGACCCUAUAAAGUUUUAUAAUAAAAUAAAUCUUAAAAGAAGUAAAAAUUAUAAGUUCAAGAUUUAUUUUUUUAUUUUGUUGGGGCGACACGGAUAUAAAUUUAAUUAACUGUCAGAGAAAAAAACAUAUAUUUAUGAAAAGUUGAAAUGGUCCUAAAUAUAGAUUAUAAGAUAAAGUUACUUUAGGGAUAACAGCGUAAUUUUUUUCAAGAGUUCUUAUCGAAAAAAAAGUUUGCGACCUCGAUGUUGAAUUAAAAUGUCUUUACAGUGUAGCCGUUGUAUGAAGAAGGUCUGUUCGACCUUUAAAAUUUUACAUGAUUUGAGUUCAAACCGGUGUAAGCCAGGUU
rnacentral:rRNA from 1 species